rnacentral:rRNA from 1 species
AUGCUCCUCCCAAUGCGCCGCCUCGCCUCUUCUCCUUCCCUCCCAGCCAUCUACCCGCACAUCUCCCCUGCGCGGCGCUCCCUUGGGCUCCGGCGACAACAUGGUCGAGGGGCGUCGGCAAGGAGGACGUCAGCGACGCCUGUGGUAUGCUGCUUGGGUUCCCUGCCCGUGGCCAGUCAGUCGAGCCAAUCGACAAUGACCGGAGCGAAUCCGGUGACGGUGGCGGGCACAGAGAGACCAUCGGAGUGGAGCGGGGACGCGAUACGCCGGCGUUUCCUUGAUUUCUACGCCGCCCGUGGCCACAAGAUACUUCCGAGCUCGUCACUCGUGCCCGAUGACCCCACCGUGUUCCUCACCAUAGCUGGGAUGCUUCAGUUCAAGCCUAUAUUUCUUGGCAAGGAACCUAGGCGUGUACCAUGUGCCACCACCUCCCAGAAAUGUAUACGGACAAAUGACAUUGAGAAUGUGGGACGCACAUCCCGACAUCAAACCUUCUUUGAGAUGCUUGGGAACUUCAGCUUUGGCGAUUACUUCAAGAAGGACGCAAUCAAAUGGGCAUGGGAGCUGACAACCAAGGAGUAUGGAUUACCCCCAGAAAGAUUGUGGAUUAGUGUAUUUGAAGAUGACGACGAGGCAUUCUCUAUUUGGCUCAAUGAGGUUGGUGUACCAAAGGAACGGAUAAAGAGGAUGGGCGAGGAUGAUAAUUUUUGGACUAGUGGUGCAACUGGACCUUGCGGACCAUGUUCUGAAAUGUAUUAUGAUUUCCAUCCUGAGAGAGGAUCCUUGAAUGCGGAUUUGAAUGAUGAUAGCCGAUUUAUCGAAUUCUAUAAUCUUGUCUUCAUGCAAUACAACAAAAAUGAUGAUGGAUCUCUAGAACCAUUGAAACAAAAGAACAUUGAUACAGGAAUGGGGCUUGAGCGUAUGGCGCGCAUUCUUCAAAAUGUUCCAAACAAUUACGAGACAGACUUGAUUUUCCCAAUAAUGGAAAAGGCAGCAAGCAUGGCGCUAGUUUCCUACGGUAAAGCUGAUGAUGCUAUGAGGACAAAUCUUAAAGUAAUUGGUGAUCACAUGAGGGCAGUUGUUUAUCUCAUAUCAGAUGGGGUCAUCCCCUCGAAUAUUGGGAGAGGAUAUGUUGUUCGAAGGCUUAUAAGAAGGGUCGUCCGGACUGGUAGAUUGAUAGGUAUGAGAGGUGAUGGGCAUGAGAACUCUGAAGGUGCAUUUUUACCUUCUCUAGCUGAGACAGUAAUUAGCCUUAGCAGUGAGAUAGAUCCAGAUGUUGAAUCAAGGCGGAAAUCAAUUCUUGGAGAACUUCUAAGGGAAGAGCUGCGAUUUGUACAGACUCUGGGAAGAGGUGAAAAGUUAUUAGAUGAACUUUUGGAUGAGGCAUUAGGUAGUGCUGGCGGGGACAAGCCUUGCCUAUCUGGAAAAGAUGUAUUUCUUUUAUAUGAUACAUAUGGUUUCCCCAUUGAGAUUACAGCUGAAAUAGCUAGUGAACGGGAUGUUACUAUUGAUAUGAAGGGGUUUGAUAUUGAAAUGGAAAACCAAAGAAAACAAUCUCAGGCUGCUCACAAUGUUAUCAAACUUUCUGUGGGAAAUGAGACCGAGAUUGUCAAAAGUAUCCCUGAUACUGAAUUUUUAGGGUAUGAGUCCCUUUUUGCAACAGCUGUUGUUAAAGCUCUUUUAAUUAAUGGAAACCCAGUAGAAAAUGUUUCAGAAGGUACUGAUGUGGAAAUACUAUUAGACCGAACACCGUUCUAUGCUGAAUCAGGUGGUCAAGUUGGAGACAAUGGUUUCUUAUAUGUGUAUGGAGAGGAAGGUGGGAAACAAAAUGCAGUCAUACAAAUCAAAGAUGUCCAAAAAUCCCUGGGAAACAUCUUUGUUCACAAAGGCACAAUUAAACAGGGGUCAGUCGAGGUUGGAAAGAAAAUCGACGCUGCAGUUGAUGGAAAACUGAGGCAGGGAGCCAAGGCUCAUCAUACUGCUACACAUCUACUACAGUCCGCUCUUAAAAGUGUCAUUGGUUCAGAGACAUCACAGGCUGGAUCCCUUGUGGCUUUUGACCGCCUCCGAUUUGACUUCAGUUUCCAUCGGCCCCUUACAGAAAAGGAGUUACUGGAAAUUGAAUCACUGGUGAACCAAUGGAUUAGCGACGCAACACAUCUCGAGACAAAUGUGAUGGCAUUGCAAGAUGCGAAAAAUGCUGGUGCCACUGCAAUGUUCGGAGAAAAAUAUGGUGAACAGGUUAGAGUUGUCGAGGUCCCUGGGGUGUCGAUGGAACUGUGUGGUGGAACUCAUGUCAGUAAUACUGCGGAGAUCCGUGGAUUCAAGAUAAUCUCAGAACAGGGAAUAGCUUCUGGAGUCAGAAGGAUCGAGGCAGUUGCAGGUGAUGCGUUUGUUGAGUAUGUUUGUUCACGGGACAACUACAUGCGACACUUAUGCUCUUCGCUUAAGGUCAAAGCAGAAGAUGUCAACAGCAGAGUAGAAACAAUUCUUGAAGAACUAAGAACAGCGAGAAAUGAAGCAUCAUCUCUACACAGCAAAAUCGCAGUGCUUAAAGCAGCAUCCCUGGCAAGUAAAGCUGUACUCGUUGAACCUCAUAAUGUCAGGAUCCUAGUUGAGAACAUGGGGGACGUGGAUGCUGAUGCGCUGAAAAGCGCAGCCGAGCAUCUCGUGGGAACCCUCCAAGACCCAGCCGCGGUGAUUUUAGGUUCAAGUCCAGGAGACGGUAAGGUGAGCCUGGUCGCUGCCUUCAGUCCUGGAGUCGUGAAAUUGGGAGUGCAAGCGGGCAAGUUUGUGGGUGGAAUAGCGAAACUUUGCGGUGGAGGUGGUGGCGGCAAACCGAACUUUGCUCAGGCUGGCGGUCGGAAGCCAGAGAACUUACCAGAUGCCCUAGAGAAGGCUAGAGCUGAAAUUGUUGCAGUGGUAUCUUCAAAAGCCAGCUGA